rnacentral:lncRNA from 1 species
CGCUAAGAAAACAAAAAUGGAAAAAGACCUGUCAAAUAUAUUCUUAUUUUAUGUUGAACACGCUAAAGAUACUACUGAAUACCGCACGUGUAACUCUUCACAAAAGUGUAAAUUAAAAUCCAUUAUUCUUCUUCGUGAGAUAUUUACAAAAUUUUUGGCGUGUAGAAAUAUGGAAGUAAGAAAACUUGAAAUUGAGAAACAUUUGAAUUCAAAGAGAAAUCGAGGUCCGAUUUUAGAUUUAAAGUUUAGAGACUGGAUUAUUUAUGUAAAUGUCUCUAAACUUUAAUCAGUAAAUUAGGAGAUACAUUUAUAAGAAUUAUAAGCUUCGCUUUCGAUUCAAAAGGAAUUCAGUUUGCUGCGUGCUCAAAGUAUAUAGCAACGUAAUCGCUCUGAUCUCAUCUGUAUAUUGUGUAACAUCAGGAUCACUUAGCGACAGAAUUUGAAAUCUUGUCACGAUACUUAAAAAGAGGAAUCCUGCAGUAACCGAUCGACGAGAUACGUUUGCCACGCGAUAUUUAUAAAGUUGAUAAGGUCUUAUGUAAUUAUAAUGAUGCAUACGUAAGCGUCUUUAGAAUAAUGAUUAAAAAAGCGAUAGUUACUUUUGUCUUAGAAACAAGGAUCUAAUUUAGAUCGCUGUAACAAACAAGAUUGAUUAUAAAAUCGUAAACGGUGGUGACGAUCGACAUUAACAUCGUGGAACAUAAAAAGGCAUGGGAUCAAGGAGAAAGGAUGGAAAAAACUGGUUUUGUGACAUAUGUGUUUAUUUCCUUGCGAGGAUAGUCACCUGCAGACUUUUGGUAUUUUAAUGUGUCUGUACAAUAAUGCUGAGAAGAAAUACAAGGACCUACACGCAAAACGUUCGAACAAGUUUGGAUCUUCAAGGACCUCCAAAACUUUCCAAAAGAUUUACAGCAUCGCCUACAAAAUCUCCCAAAAGCUCAACGAUUCUUAAGGUUCCGUGGCACGAGAUCUUCGUUUCGGUGCAAUAUGGAGAGGACUGAAAAAUAGGAAAGAGUAAACAGAGAGGCGAGGAACGGGAGAAAAAGAAUGUUUCAGGAAGAGGAUACUUAGCACUCGGUUCGUCCACAAAGUCCGCUGAUGCGAGUUAUGCAAUUACAUUUGUAAUGGGCCAACAUUCAGCUCCGACAACGCUGGCAAUUCGCGGUAAUUACUGUGCCGUAUCUCGUAAUCCAUUGCCGGGUUGUGUCGUCUACGAAGACACGAUUCUGCUGCAAAGGAACAACCGAUUUUUCGGUCAAACACCGAACACCUUCGUCUACAUUCCGGCACAGCGUCAGUCACCGGUGACCGACAUGGUCACUUAAGAUUGAAAUUGAAGGGUUUGCAGCAAUAAGUGGGCAGCUUUUUGCACGCUUUUUCUUACAUAUCCUGUCUCUGAAGAAAAAUCUGACCUUUCACUUGGUAUAAAAAGGAGCGAACAGCAAUAGUUAGGAAACUACAAUAUAAUACGAAAUGAUAUGCAUAUCGCAACCUGGAUUUGGAAAUUUAGCAACGUAGCCAAUGCACUGUCUUUUAUUUUCUGGACAUUGAACACAGCUAAAUAAGCGAAAGAUAAAAAUGCUGAGAAUGAUCAAGGAGGAAGCGAUAGCUAUACUUGUAGAACAAGGACGUAUUCGAAGUCUAGAAGGACGAUUGUAACACAGAAGAUCGGAAAGACGAGCAAUGUCGAAGUGGUACGGAAGCUCAGCAACCCGGGACACGUUUUCUAUUCAAGGCUCGACACGCGUCACAAGGGGAGUCGCGAAUCGAAAAUCGAUGGAACUCUCAGUAGGUCUCGAGGACCAGAAGCUUAAUUUAGACCCAGUUCAGAAGGUUCAAAGGAAGAGAAGAGGAUAAAAACGCAGCUGAAGAGAAGAUGUAAAAAAACAUUGGUCAGGUAGAAGCGACUUGGCACAAAAAUCGUGCAUACAGGAUUAGGGGUUAAAUUAUACGGUCUGGACGGAUAUGGUUGCUUGGAGAUAAAUCGCGAGGCAUGGGAUAAUAAUUUGCUAAAUGUCAGGCAGUUUGUUGAAAAUUCUUGCCUAUUACCUACGCCAUAACUUCGAGAUCCGUCGAGAGCAUUGAAAGGAACUCACAAAUUACAUUAUUAGUACCGUCAGACACGCGUCACCAUCUUACAUGGGUACACACGAGCAAUGUGACCAAUUUGUACGCCAUCGAUGAAUGCCACUUUUGUCUACCUUCCACGUCAUUUUCCGCCAUCGAGAAAAUCGCAUUAAACAUUUUGUCGAUCGUUUUUUAUAUUUGCGAACGUGCACCGCGUUAAUCGCGUCUUUGACAAUUACGAGAAAAACUUCGUUGAACUCUUUGUCGUGUGAUUAUUUUUAAUUGUCGCGGUACGUAAUGCCGCUAAGAAAAUUCGUCGUUAAAGGAAUUGUAUAACAUUAUAUAAUUAUAAAUGAUACAACGAUGUUAUGAUUACGAACGGUAUAAUCUAAUGUUAUAAUUGGGAACGAAAUAUGUUCUAUGUUACGCUAUGAAAUAUGAGAAAUUCGUAAUAUAUUAUAUUGUUUAGGGUAUUUGCAACGGAUUGUAAUGAACGGUUCAUCGCAGCAUUGAAAUAUUACAUGUUAAAUGUAAAGCGCACGUUCAGCCUAUUUUUCGAAUCGGUCUAUCGACGCGAACAAGAAGAAAAUCGAAUCUGAAUUUGGAUGGAGAAAAAAGAAAGAACCGGUAGAACCUGUAUGCCGUUAUAUUUCGCAUAUGUUAUGUCGCACGUCGUUUUAUAUCGCAAUACGAAGGCAAUCGCUAUUAUUUAACUACUAUAUGUAAAAUGGACAACUAUAAUAGUCGUUUAUUUCGAAUAUAGCGUUUUGGGAACAACACUUUGGUAUUAAUCUUUAAAAACAGUUUGAGAUUUUCAACUCUAAAUUUAUGAACUUGGGUACUCGCGAAUUUGUAGGACUUGAAUAUAUUGUAACUUUCAAAUUUGUAAGUAACCAAGUGAAGACAGUGGAAAUUGUAAACUUACCUUC